GAAUCUGGAAGAAGAAAAAUCAAAGAUUUGUAAUACAAAAACAAAAAUUCAAGAUUAAAUUAUUUCAAAAAAAUGAAAACAUUCUUUAUAUGUUUAUAAAUAUAUAGAUAAAUAAAUAAUACAUGUCACAAUGAUAUAUUAGUUUCCGUCACUAAAAAUUUAAAAAAGUAACCGAAGUUAGCCUCAAGGACUAAUGUGAGUAACACUUGUAUAAUAAAAAAGAAGUCUAAAAACUAAUGUAAAUUACAUUCUAGGAACUACGAAUUUUGAUUGUGAAAAUGAAAAGCACCGAAUUAUAUUGCGAAAAUUAAACUCUUCUCAAAUAUGCAAAACCUUUUUAUUGUUACUAGAUAUGAAUUAUAAAUUAAAAUAUUAGAAAAAGACCAAAUAAUACUACACUCAAGAUUCACU
rnacentral:lncRNA from 1 species